UGAACGUAGUGGAAGCCUCUGGGAAGUGGCGCGAUACAAGGUGAUAGCCCUGUACACGAAGUGUUUGUUUUUGUGAAAUCGAGUAGGUCGGGACACGUGUUAUCUUGACUGAAUAUGGGGGGACCAUCCUCCAAGGCUAAAUACUCCUAACUGACCGAUAGUGAACCAGUACCGUGAGGGAAAGGCGAAAAGAACCCCUGUGAGGGGAGUGAAAUAGAACCUGAAACCGUAUACGUACAAGCAGUGGGAGCAGACUUGUUCUGUGACUGCGUACCUUUUGUAUAAUGGGUCAGCGACUUAUAUUUAGUAGCAAGGUUAAGCGAAUAGCGGAGCCGUAGCGAAAGCGAGUGUUAACUGCGCGUUUAGUUGCUAGGUAUAGACCCGAAACCCGGUGAUCUAGCCAUGGGCAGGUUGAAGGUUGAGUAACAUCAACUGGAGGACCGAACCCACUAACGUUGAAAAGUUAGGGGAUGACUUGUGGCUGGGGGUGAAAGGCCAAUCAAACCGGGAGAUAGCUGGUUCUCCCCGAAAUCUAUUUAGGUAGAGCCUCGGACGAAUUCCAUUGGGGGUAGAGCACUGUUAAGGCUAGGGGGUCAUCCCGACUUACCAACCCUUUGCAAACUCCGAAUACCAAUGAGAACUAUCCGGGAGACACACGGCGGGUGCUAACGUCCGUCGUGAAGAGGGAAACAACCCAGACCGCCAGCUAAGGUCCCAAAAUAUUGCUAAGUGGGAAACGAUGUGGGAAGGCAUAGACAGCUAGGAGGUUGGCUUAGAAGCAGCCACCCUUUAAAGAAAGCGUAAUAGCUCACUAGUCGAGUCGGCCUGCGCGGAAGAUGUAACGGGGCUAAGCAAUAUACCGAAGCUGCGGAUACGUGUUUACACGUAUGGUAGGGGAGCGUUGUGUAAGUGGAUGAAGGU
rnacentral:rRNA from 1 species